UUCAAUGCUCCCGAGUGUCCUCAAAUGCCGCAUUAGGCUCAAAGUUUACUUUCACUUCCUGAACUUCGUGGAGUGGAGGUUGUUGUUGGUGUGUGUGAAGAAACUAGACAGCAGAUGGAGGAAGAGCAGAGGACUUUGGAAAGUGUUAUUUAAAAUGGACGUAGCUUUGAUUCAGCACGUCGGCCUCUGUUAAAAAUAUCACGACCUGUCGGCUCAGACUGUUCACACUGAAACAAAGAUGGAGGAUAAAACAGGUGAAGGUAGAAAGUGUGUGUGAGCUGAUGUGAAUUGAGCAGCAUGGAUCAGUGUGAGGACA